GUGCCAGCCGCCGCGGUAAUACGUAGGUGGCAAGCGUUGUCCGGAAUUAUUGGGCGUAAAGCGCGCGCAGGCGGUCUUUUAAGUCUGAUGUGAAAGCCCCCGGCUCAACCGGGGAGGGUCAUUGGAAACUGGAGGACUUGAGUGCAGAAGAGAAGAGCGGAAUUCCACGUGUAGCGGUGAAAUGCGUAGAGAUGUGGAGGAACACCAGUGGCGAAGGCGGCUCUUUGGUCUGUAACUGACGCUGAGGCGCGAAAGCGUGGGGAGCAAACAGGAUUAGAUACCCUGGUAGUCC
rnacentral:rRNA from 1 species